UGAGGAAUAUUGGUCAAUGGACGGAAGUCUGAACCAGCCAUGCCGCGUGAAGGAAUAAGGCCCUAUGGGUCGUAAACUUCUUUUGUGGUGGAGCAAUAAGACCUACGUGUAGGUCGAUGAGAGUACAUCACGAAUAAGCAUCGGCUAACUCCGUGCCAGCAGCCGCGGUAAUACGGAGGAUGCGAGCGUUAUCCGGAUUUAUUGGGUUUAAAGGGUGCGCAGGCGGACUCGUCAAGUCAGCGGUAAAAAUUCGGGGCUCAACCCCGUCCUGCCGUUGAAACUGCGAGACUGGAGUGCGACAGAGGAAGGCGGAAUGCGAGGUGUAGCGGUGAAAUGCAUAGAUAUCGCGCAGAACUCCGAUUGCGAAGGCAGCCUUCCAUGUCGUAACUGACGCUGAGGCACGAAAGCGUGGGGAUCGAACAGGAUUAGAUACCCUGGUAGUCCCUGAACUGCCAAGGCACGACAGGGGGGAUA
rnacentral:rRNA from 1 species